UACGUAGGGACCAAGCGUUGUUCGGAUUUACUGGGCGUAAAGGGCGCGUAGGCGGCAAUUCAAGUCAUCUGUGAAAUCUCCGGGCUUAACCCGGAACGGUCAGAUGAUACUGCUUUGCUAGAGUGCGGAAGGGGCAAUCGGAAUUCCAGGUGUAGCGGUGAAAUGCGUAGAUAUCUGGAGGAACACCGGUGGCGAAGGCGGCAUCCUGGACCGGCAUUGACGCUGAGGCGCGAAAGCCAGGGGAGCAAACGGG
rnacentral:rRNA from 1 species